rnacentral:lncRNA from 1 species
UUGAUGAUUAGUGGUUGACUUUAAAAGGGUGUCUGAAACCAUAGAUUGAGACUGUUUCAUGGGUUCAUCUUGCAUUUUCACACCUAUUGUACUAACAGAUGGCUUUCCCAUCAUUCCGUCGGUAUUCAUAGCGUUUACAUUGCCGCCAAGUGGCAGAUGAUUAGGAUCCCUCCUUUGUAGGUGAGCGUUUCUUUGCUGCAUUAAAUGCAUCUGCUGCAUUUGCAUCUGUUGUUGAUGCUCUUUCGCUUUCAUUUACCCCUAUAUAUGAUGCAGCAGCCUCAGAAUGUUUAUCGUUUGUCCUUGCAAUAAAU